CUGUGGGCCUCAGUCUAGAACUUGUCAGGCCUAUAUUAUUUAGUUUUUUUCUUUAAAUUUUUCAAGUGUCUUCAAGAAUUCUCUCGAUUCUUCUGGAAGGGGUUGGUCUUUUCAAAUUUAUGGGCUUCCCGCCUUUGACAAGGCUUGAUGACCGGCCCAAGGCCCAUUGUACGGGCUGUAGCCAGUUCAUUUUAGGGUUUACCGGCAAGUGAACCGGUUGUGGAUUGCCUAUAUAAUGAGUGACUGAGAGUUCAUUUCUCAUUUCACUCCAAAGUUUCCAAGUUUAAGUGCUAGAAAACCCUCCCAAACACUCUCAAAAAAUUCUCUAGUUUCUCGGCGAAUUCUUAGGCGUAUCUCCGGCAAUCUUCAAGUUCUUUCCAGAUUCCGGCCGAUAUUCAAGGGUUUUCCAGUUUUCCGGGCGAUCUUCAAAAAUUUCCCAGGUUCCGAUCAAUCUUCAUCUUUUCUUCAUCAGUUUCUGGGUUUCAUACCUUCAUCCGAAGAAGAUCAAUGGCUGAUUC
rnacentral:lncRNA from 1 species